rnacentral:misc_RNA from 1 species
AAGUCGUAACAAGGUUUCCGUAGGUGAACCUGCGGAAGGAUCAUUACAUAAUAUGAACGCGGCGCUGCACGCAAGUGUACCGCGCCGCAAUCUUAAACCCUUGUGAACUGUUAUUGACACCUUUGGUGAGACCGACCGUGGUCGUCUCGCCAAACGGUACACCAUCAAAACAAACUAUUCGAACCAUAAAGACUUAAAGAUUUUCUAAUUGAAAUACAACUUUUAACAAUGGAUCUCUUGGCUCUU